rnacentral:miRNA from 1 species
CAUGUAGGGUUUAAAGCCAUUG